UACGAAGGGGGCUAGCGUUGCUCGGAAUCACUGGGCGUAAAGGGUGCGUAGGCGGGUCUUUAAGUCAGGGGUGAAAUCCUGGAGCUCAACUCCAGAACUGCCUUUGAUACUGAGGAUCUUGAGUUCGGGAGAGGUGAGUGGAACUGCGAGUGUAGAGGUGAAAUUCGUAGAUAUUCGCAAGAACACCAGUGGCGAAGGCGGCUCACUGGCCCGAUACUGACGCUGAGGCACGGAAGCGUGGGGAGCAAACGGG
rnacentral:rRNA from 1 species